rnacentral:lncRNA from 1 species
ACUCUUCAUGGCUCAAUUUCGGCUCCCGGAGCUGGUUCUACCAGGGCCCCAGCACCGGUCCAGAGAGGAGGCCCCGGGUCCGCGCGUCUGGUUGUGUCGGGCGGUGCUCUCUGUCCUUCUCACUCCCCAGCCCUCCCUUCCAUUUCUCGGUUACCUGCGCGGCUGCAGGCGCCGCCGGGGACUGCACAGGUAAAAGUCUCGGCAAGUGAGGGCGCAGGUGUGGGCGCCUCCUGGGCCAGGCGGGCAGGGGAGAGGCCGACGGCACGUGCCUGGCUCUAAAAAGAUUUUUUUUUUUUAACAGGGAUUGUAUUGACAGUGGGGGCUUGGGGAGGGCAGACACGGACCCUGGGAGCGCUGCAGGGCACUGGGGGGAGAGAGGGGCGGGACUGAAGCCCCGGAGAUUGGGGGCCGGUUCCUUUACGGCCCCGCAGCUUGCGCAGGCUCCGUGGUGCCUGGGAGGUGGUGCGCCGGUUGGGUGGGGGCGGGUCCAGGCCGCGGCGUCGGAGAAUUGUCCCCCAUCCAGUCCCCGCGAUGACUGGGUUUUGACAGCCUCCCCUCCCGAGCGCGCACAUUCCCAGGUUUGCAGAAUGAAAAUCAAUAAAAUCGAUGCAGUGGCAAAGAACGCGA